rnacentral:lncRNA from 1 species
CUGGUCUGGUGCUGCUGCUGGGGCUGUCAGAGAGAGGGGGUGGGGGUCUGGGGGUGUGCGGGUCAGCGGCCGGCGCGCCCUCUAGCGGCGGAUGAGCGCAGCGCCGUUUGAGCCCUCUGACUCUCCGUACUGGAUGCUGCUGAUGAACCUGCUCCGCGCUGUUUAUCCGUAGCCCGUAGGCUCCCUCCGCGCGAGGAGAAAGGCGUUGGAUUACGAGCAGACAGGCGGGGAUGUUCGGCCCUUAGUCCCGCAGUGAGGAGCCGCUGAGCAGCAGCAUGGAGGUGUGGAGACUCCCGCAUCCGUCCUGCCCGUCCGCCGUUCAGCUCUUCAGGAGAUGAAGUAACGCCGUUCUGACCCAGAGGAAUCCGCGGCGGCUGCCCGGCAACCGAGCAUCCCCUCCCCGCCGCAGAUCAGCAGCAGACUCGGUGUUGUGUCUCCUCCAGCCCGCCGCUGCGGAUGGAGCUCUGAUUACCGGGCAGCUCCUCACUGAACCCCGGCGGGAGCAGCGCCGCUCAGCCGCGGGAUGAAGAGCAGAAACAAAGGGAUGCAGCGCUAGAGGGAGAGUCCGGGCUCGGUUCCGCGGGAAGGAAACUCCUCCAGGUAGUUCAGGACUGUCCCUUGGUGAGGCAGGGCAGGACAGGGCGAGGUGAGGAGGGGCCGCUGACCGGAUGCCCUUUGGGGCAGAAGCCGCAUGGCCUCGACCAUGAGCCGGCUGAUGCUGGGCCGGACGCUGGAGCGGAUCUGUAAGGCCGUGCUGCUGCUGUGUCUGGUGCACUUCCUCAUCAUGAUGAUCCUGUACUUCGACGUGUACAGCCAGCGCUUCGACAUCUUCAGCCGCUUCAACAACGGCCGCGGCGCCAACGCCUCCCGCGGACCCCACCACUACUACUACAACUACUCCAGACCCAACACCACCUUCCCCAGCUACCUGCCCGGCGCAGACCAGCUCCUACCCACCGCCAAGCCUGAGGCCAACCGCACACGCCCAACUCCAAAACCCAUCCCUCCCUGCCCUGAGGUGCCUCCUGGACUCGUGGGGCGUCUCCUGAUCGAGUUCAGCUCUCAGAUGACGAUGGAGAGGGUGCAGAGGGAGAACCCAAACGUGACGGAGGGGGGCAAGUACACGCCCACGGACUGUCGGCCCAAGCAGAAGGUCGCCAUCAUCAUCCCCUUCAGACACAGAGACCACCACCUGAAGUACUGGCUGCACUACCUGCACCCCAUCCUGCGCCGCCAGAAGAUCGACUACGGCAUCUACAUCAUCAACCAGCUCGGGGAGGACACGUUUAACCGGGCGAAGCUGCUGAACGUGGGCUACACGGAGGCUCUGAAGGACGCAGAGUACGACUGCUUCAUCUUCAGUGACGUGGACCUCAUCCCCAUGGAUGACCGUAACCUGUACCACUGCUAUGACCAGCCGCGCCACUUCGCCAUCGCCAUGGACAAGUUCGGCUUCAGGCUACCAUAUGCAGGAUAUUUUGGAGGAGUCUCUGGCUUAAGCAAAAAGCAGUUUCUUAAAAUCAACGGCUUCCCCAACGAGUACUGGGGCUGGGGAGGGGAGGACGACGACAUCUACAACAGGAUUACUCUGAACGGUAUGAAGGUGUCUCGGCCGGAUGUGCGGAUUGGCCGGUACAGGAUGAUAAAGCACGAGAGGGACAAGCACAAUGAGCCAAACCCCCAGAGAUUUAAUAAAAUCCAGAACACAAAGAACACCAUGAGGAAGGACGGCAUCAGCUCGCUGACGUAUCGCCUGGCCUCUGUUAAGAAGUACCCGCUCUACACCAACAUCUCAGUGGAGAUCGGCAAACCCCCUCCCAGACCCAUCAAAGGAUAGAUAGACCGGGACCUCUCUAAUCCAGCUCAACACACACACACACACCCACACACACACACACAAACACUCACACGUGAACACACACUGCGCUGGUCUGGGCCGUCUGCCUCUAACUGCAGCACUGACAUGCUGAACAGGUUAGUUCUCAGGAAUCCCCGCGGGGUCGUCCGGCAGCGAGCCGGGGGGCGGAGCUAUAAUCAUCUGAAUUCUAAUCCUCGCUCAGAUCCAGACUGCUACACUGACUCGCUCUGAGCAGAACAGAUCAUGUUUUGUUAACGGGACUCUGCUGCUGUAGAGCACAGGAAGCCAUAGCGAAUAUGGACGACGCCCCCUCCAGUAAACCGCUCCCCCCGGAGGAGCUGGAGGAGCUGGAGGCUCUGUGUGACAGGUUGAGCAGUUUCUGGGCUCGGUCUCCAGGAGCACGGAUGCUUGGAAGGUUGGAAGAUUGGGAUGGUCUAACAGAAUUCCAAGCGAGGAGCAUCGCCCUGAUCACUUGAUGUAAAUCAGUUGAAGAUACUGACAGUAACAGUAACUGUACAUUGCAGAAAAUGAAUGUCUCUUUUUUUGUACCUGCAGCUCCUGCAGCGUCCGAGGUUUCUUCGUAUCUCUGAAGCCGGAUCUGGUGAAGUAGUUUAAUCGGUGCUUGAAGAAUUUUGAAGGCUUUGUGGAACUUCUCGUUCUUUUUCUCUCUGCAUUCAACUUCCUGCCUUUUCUUAUUUUCUAUCAGUUCAGUUUCUGUCUGUUUUUCCUGCUACGUGCCAGGCAGCGUUCUGCACUCCUGAGGAGAAAUUCUGAAUGUUGGAGAUAAGAUUAAUUAGUUAGUCUAAGAUUAUGUUCAGACUGCCAGCCCAAAUCUGAUUUUUUUCAGAUCUGGAUUGUAUUCAGAUUAAGUUUUGACAGACAGACACCACAUAAAAUCCACAUUAGGUAAAUCAAAUCUAAACCAUUGAAACCCAUUUGGAUUUAUUGAGAUGGAUCUCAGUCUGAAUGGUUUGGUCAC